UGAAGGAUUUGUAAUUAAAGCUGUUUUCUAUUUCUCCAGAUUCAGCAAACUCUCUAGAAGUAAAGACUAGAAAAGACCUACAGAAAUGGAGAACACAAGCAUAAGCCAGUCGAAGCUUCAGGCCACGAAGACUCUGAAGAUGCAGAAUACCAAAACUCACAAAAAUGUCAGUGUUGAAAAACAGCUUCUGGCACUUCAAGAAGUGAACACCAGACAAAAUCUGGAAAUCCGAGUCCUGAAGUACACAAUCAGUAGCUU